ensembl:miRNA
UAGAGGCAGGCAGAUCUCUGUGAGUUUGAGGCCAGCCUGCUCAACAGAGUGAGUUCUAGGGCAGCCAGGAACACACAGAGAAACCCUGUCCCGAGAAG